AAUGAACGCUGGCGGCAUGCCUAACACAUGCAAGUCGAACGAAGGCUUCGGCCUUAGUGGCGCACGGGUGUGUAACGCGUGGGAAUCUGCCCUCAGGUUCGGAAUAACAGCGAGAAAUUGCUGCAAAUACCGGAUGAUAUCGCGAGAUCAAAGAUUUAUCGCCUGAGGAUGAGCCCGCGUAGGAUUAGCUAGUUGGUGUGGUAAAGGCGCACCAAGGCGACGAUCCUUAGCUGGUCUGAGAGGAUGAUCAGCCACACUGGGACUGAGACACGGCCCAGACUCCUACGGGAGGCAGCAGUGGGGAAUAUUGGACAAUGGGCGAAAGCCUGAUCCAGCAAUGCCGCGUGAGUGAUGAAGGCCUUAGGGUUGUAAAGCUCUUUUACCCGGGAUGAUAAUGACAGUACCGGGAGAAUAAGCUCCGGCUAACUCCGUGCCAGCCGCCGCAGUAA
rnacentral:rRNA from 1 species